GAGAGUAUCACAAAAGAACUAAAUGAUCUAAAAGCAGAAAAACAAACACUAACUAAAGAACUUGAAAAAUACAAACCCUUGGUUGAAAAAUUUACAUAUAGUUCAGAAAAAUUGAAUAUGAUACUUAAUAGUCAACGAGCGGUAUUCAAUAGAGCAGGUUUAGGAUAUAAACCUAAAAAUAAGCAAAAACUUCUUAGUAACUUCUUUGUUAAAGCAGGAGAAAG
rnacentral:lncRNA from 1 species